UUAAAACUUUAUUUACAGUUGUUCUUCAAGAUAUAAGUUAGUAUAAAAUUAUAAAAACAAGUAUUAUAAUGACUAGUUAUUAUUUUACAUUUGUAUUUGCUACAUUUUUAUUUAUAUUACAUACUUUUGUGUAGUAGACACAAUACUUACUAAAAAAUAUAAACACCAUAAUAUUUAAGUAUCAAUAUAUGUAACAAUAAUGAAAUCAAAAUAAAAGGGGUGCUGUUUUAUUAUAUGUUACCCAAUUAUGAAAGAGCUAAUUUUCAAAUUUUGCUUUCUCAUUUUUUGGACUAUCUGUGGUGGUAAUAAAACGCAGUUAUGAUCAAAAAUGUUAUUUUUUCAUCAAAAAUUUUAAUAAAGAAUAUGUCAUAUCUGCAUGUGCUAUCUCAGUACAACUAACGGGCAAUAUAGCAAAAUCUACCUUACGCAGACUGUAAAGCUCGUUUAAUUUUAGUUUUAAAGUAAAAUAAUCACCUUUUAUAAAAUUAAAAGAAAACAAUAUUGCGGAAGACAAGGCGGCACCUAUUAUUCUAGUUAUUAUUCCAAAUAUAACACUCAAUACAUCAUUUAGAAAUAAAGACUAAUUUAUCAUUUUAAAAUUACUGCAACAUUUCAAAAAAGAAAUUUUAAAAUAGAAACUUAUAAUUUUACUCUUCAGAUUGUUGUCUUCUGUUAAUUUUUACUAAAGGUGCCUUUAUUAUAAAACCAAAAUUAAGCAAGUUCUACACAGUCUACAUAAGAUAGAUUUUACUAUAUUUCCCAUUAAUUGGACUAAUUAGUUGCAUGGUUAGUUACACAAAUGAGUAACAAUUUCUUAAAAAUAAAAUGAAAUAAAAUAAUUAUUAAUAAUAAUUAAUUUAUAUAAUUAGGAGAUAUUGUGAAACGAGUAUCUUUGUAAAUACACUGGAGCUUAAAUUAUAAAAAAAAAACAAAAUAAAUAACCCGUUAGGUAGGUAACACCAAACAUAAAUAAAGGUAUGGCUUCAAGGCCAUACCUAUAUCUGUGUUGAACUAUUUUUCUACCUUAACUCAAAAUUCUCAAAUUUUUUAAUACAAUUUUUAUAUCAUAUGUAAUCUGAAAGUUUGCUAACUACUACAAAUAUGGAAAAAGAUUAAAUUAUUUUCCAAUGGCAGAAAAUAACCUUUUUUAGUAAAUUAAAUAAAUUAUUUAAUUCUUAAGUUAAAACAAUUUUGAAAAAUUAAAUAAAUUAUUUAAUUCUUAAGUUAAAACAAUUUUGAAAAAUUAAAAUUUCUUUUAAAAAAUUAAUUUGUUAAAAUUACCUAUUUGCAGCCUCUAAAAUACUGCAUGGUCAGGAUUUUGACGGGUCCCAUCAAUAAAGUUACCAUUUUUUUUUUUUUAGCAUUGAUUUUGGAAAGUUUUUAAAUUUUUUUAGAGUAUUAAAAACCCUUAGAAGUUUAGAAGCAUAUCAAACAUUAAAUAGUAGGUAAACAAAUAAUACUAAUUUAUGUAUUUUUUGAUUCUGAAAACAGUUAUAAUUUUCAUAAUACUAUACAGAGUGAUCAAUCUAUUGUAACACUCAUUAUCUUGGAAAGUAUAAACUUUUUUCGGAGUUCAUUUUAUAAAGAAUUUAAGAACCUCUUUAGCUCGAGAGAUUUUAAAAUGUUGUGUUCUUUAACUAAAAAAUAUAUAAUAAUAUAUUAAUACAGCUUAAAUAUAAUUUAGAAUAUUUCGAUAUUCGGUAUUAGGUACCUUGGUUUGUCCCAGUAAUUGGCAUGUGUAUUUUGCAUUAUCUGACAAAUUUUAAUCUUGAUAGUAUAUUAAUAUACAACAAAGUAAAAUAUACCAAUUCAUAUUUUAAUAGAUUUUAAAUUUAAAUAGAUAUUUUGUUAUUUUAUGUUUGAUGGACAAUAAAUUGGGAUGAUAGAUACCUAAUUAAUACUGUAGAAAAAAUAAAAAUAAGUAAAACAAAAUAUUAUCAAUGUCUUAGCUAUUUGUGGUUAAUUAACUUUAACAUAAACAUACUGUAAACAAAUUUAUUGGUGUGUACUUUUCUUCAAAUAGUAUGUAUAUAAAUUAUGAGUAGAAACCGGAUUUAUAUUCUCUUAUAAUCUACAAAAAGGGGCUUUAAAACAUCAAAAAAUCUCUGAAAAAAGCAUUUACAAACAUUUAAAAAAGCAAAAAUUAUAGAGGUUCUUAAAAGUCUCUCCACUAAUGGAUUUAACUUAUUAAAUUAAAUUUUCUAACACUACAAAGUUGAUACAAAAUAAUCUUUAAAAUAAAACUGUAUGUAUUAUAAAAAAAAAAUUACAUUUCAUUAAUCAUUUUUGUGGUGUUAGAAAAUUGUAUUUAUAAAUUAAAUCCAUUAGAGGGAGGACUAUUAAACCCUUCUAUAUUUUUUUUGUUUUUAUGUAUUUUUUUCAAAGCUUUUGGUGUUUUCAAGUGUUUUUUUGGAUUUUAAGAACAUAUAAAUCUGGUAUCAAAACUAUUAGUAAGUAUAAAAAAUAAAAUUUACUUGUUUUUGAAAAAUCAGGCUUCACUGAGGCAGGAAAAAAAUAUCUCUAUACUUAACAAUUGGCCAAGAAAAUUUAACAAAUACAAUGAUUAUAUUAAUGUGUGUAUGUUGUAAUAAUUACACAACAUAUUUUUUUAUAUCAAAAGUUUAUAAAAGAAUUUCAAAUUGUUUUAUUAAUAAUUAUUACCUAUAAUAUAUUACAGACCCAUUUUGCAUUCUAACUGUGUGACUGCAUAGGGCGAUGGACAACGAAUAGGUUAUUGACUAUUAGUCGACUUAUUUAUCCCAUAAGGGAUACAGCAAGUAGCAAGAGUGACUUCGGGCAGGCUAACAUACACCUCCACACAAGAAGAAUGGGAAAAUAAUCUCCCAACUAACAGGAAUUUAGUUAAUGAUGUUCAAUUCCACUCAGCCAGGAUUGCCCCUCCCACACAGAAUAAUGACUAAACCGAAUUCGUACAGGGCAAGGCCGGUAUAACCAUCUAAUGCACAAAUGGCACAUAAAAGAGAAUCUAAGAUGUAACUGCGGAGCGGAAGCACAAACAAUGUACCACAUAGUAAUGGAAUGUGAAAAUAGGUUUAAUGGAACUUUUAAAGAUCUACAUGCAAUGACGACAAUGCACUACAAUGACU